AAUCAACGCUGGCGGCGUGCCUCAGACAUGCAAGUCGAACGAUUAAAACUCUCUUCGGAGAGUGCAUAGAGUGGCGCACGGGUGAGUAACACGUAAGUAAUCUACCUUCGAGUGGGGAUAACGUCCGGAACGGACGCUAAUACCGCAUAAUGCAGCGGCAUCGCAAGAUGACAGUUGUUAAAGGAGCAAUUCGCUUGAAGAGGAGCUUGCGGCAGAUUAGCUAGUUGGUAAGGUAAUGGCUUACCAAGGCUACGAUCUGUAACCGGUCUAAGAGGACGGUCGGUCACACUGACACUGAAUAACGGGUCAGACUCCUACGGGAGGCAGCAGUCGGGAAUUUUGGGCAAUGGGCGAAAGCCUGACCCAGCAACGCCGCGUGAAGGAUGAAGUAUUUCGGUAUGUAAACUUCGAAAGAAUAGGAAGAAUAAAUGACGGUACUAUUUAUAAGGUCCGGCUAACUACGUGCCAGCAGCCGCCGUAAC
rnacentral:rRNA from 1 species